CCUGUAUCAUAGAGUGUCACGAAAAAGGAUUUUUAUUUGCUAAUUACUCUGGUCUAAUGAUAGAUAUAAUAUAGGUUCCAACUGUUGAUUUCGGUGCCCCAAUGAGAUUAUAAUUGUUAGAAAACAAUGCAACGGAAAACUAUAUAUUAUUAUAAAUUAUCGCAAAACAAAUCCAACAUUUGCUAGUUCUCAGUAUACAUAGUAAUAUUCAGAAGAAAUUAUCGCUUACAAUGGGUUCUGGACUAAACAUAGCAUCAAAUGAAGUGACUCUUGACAGCAAUAUGAUGUAUUUAUUGUAAUGAAGUUAUUUGUGAACAAUAAACUAUUUUAGUAUCCUUUAAA